UACAGAGGUGGCAAGUGUUGUUCGGAUUUACUGGGCGUAAAGGGUCCGCAGGCGGUUUUGUGUGUCAGAUGUGAAAGCCCACGGCUUAACCGUGGAAAUGCAUUUGAAACUACAGAACUAGAGUACGGGAGAGGAGAGGGGAAUUCAUGGUGUAGCGGUGAAAUGCGUAGAUAUCAUGAAGAACACCGGUGGCGAAAGCGCCUCUCUGGACCGAUACUGACGCUCAUGGACGAAAGCCAGGGGAUCAAAGAGGAUUAGAUACCCUCGUAGUCCUGGCCAUAAACGGUGCGCACUUGAUGUGGGAGGUUUACCCCCUCCCGUGUCGAAGCUAACGCGUUAAGUGCGCCGCCUGGGAAGUACGGCCGCAAGGUUAAA
rnacentral:rRNA from 1 species